rnacentral:rRNA from 1 species
GAUGAACGCUGGCGGCGUGCUUAACACAUGCAAGUCGAACGAAGCACUUUAUUUUAUUUCCUUCGGGACUGAUUAUUUUGUGACUGAGUGGCGGACGGGUGAGUAACGCGUGGGUAACCUGCCUUGUACAGGGGGCUAACAGUUGGAAACUGCUGCUAAUACCGCAUAAGCGCACAGCAUCGCAUGAUUCAGUGUGAAAAAGGCCGGUGGUAUAAGAUGGACCCGCGUUGGAUUAGCUAGUGGGUGAGGUAACGGCCCACCAAGGCGACGAUCCAUAGCCGACCUGAGAGGGAGACCGGACACACUGGGACUGAGACACGGCCGAAAAUCCUACGGGAGGCAGCAGUGGGGAAUAUUGCAAAAUGGGGGAAAGGCUGAUGGAGCGACGACGGGUGAGCGAAGAAGUAUGUCGGUAUGUAAAGCUAUAUCAGCAGGGAAGAUAAUGACGGUACCUGACUAAGAAGCACCGGCUAAAUACGUG